UACGAAGGGGGCUAGCGUUGCUCGGAAUCACUGGGCGUAAAGCGCACGUAGGCGGACUCUUAAGUCGGUGGUGAAAUCCUGGAGCUCAACUCCAGAACUGCCUUCGAUACUGAGAGUCUCGAGUCCGAGAGAGGUGAGUGGAACUGCGAGUGUAGAGGUGAGAUUCGUAGAUAUUCGCAAGAACACCAGUGGCGAAGGCGGCUCACUGGCUCGGUACUGACGCUGAGGUGCGAAAGCGUGGGGAGCAAACAGG
rnacentral:rRNA from 1 species